CGCACAUUGCGCCCCUUGGUAUUCCGAGGGGCAUGCCUGUUCGAGCGUCAUUAUGACCACUCAAGCCUGGCUUGGUAUUGGGGUUCGCGGUCCCGCGGCUCUUAAAAUCAGUGGCGGCGCCAUCUGGCUCUAAGCGUAGUAAUCUUUCUCGCUACAGAGUCUUGGUGGAUGCUUGCCAGCAACCCCUUAUUUUCUUAGGUUGACCUCGGAUCAGGUAGGGAUACCCGCUGAACUUAA
rnacentral:misc_RNA from 1 species